UGGGGAAUAUUGCACAAUGGGCGCAAGCCUGAUGCAGCGACGCCGCGUGCGGGAUGGAGGCCUUCGGGUUGUAAACCGCUUUUGUUCAAGGGCAAGGCAGGCUUUCGGGCCUGUUGAGUGGAUUGUUCGAAUAAGCACCGGCUAACUACGUGCCAGCAG
rnacentral:rRNA from 1 species